AAUAUUGCGCAAUGGAGGGAACUCUGACGCAGCGACGCCGCGUGAGCGAUGAAGGUCUUCGGAUCGUAAAGCUCUGUCCUUGGGGAAGAGGGUCUUCGGACUUGACGGUACCUAAGGAGGAAGCCCCGGCUAACUACGUGCCAGCAGCCGCGGUAAUACGUAGGGGGCAAGCGUUGUCCGGAAUUAUUGGGAGUAAAGGGGGCGUAGGCGGCCUUUUAAGUCAGAUGUGAAAGCCCACGGCUUAACCGUGGGACUGCAUUUGAAACUGAUUGGCUUGAGUUAAGGAGAGGAAAGUGGAAUUCCUAGUGUAGCGGUGAAAUGCGUAGAUAUUAGGAGGAAUACCAGUGGCGAAGGCGACUUUCUGGACUUAUACUGACGCUGAGGAACGAAAGCGUGGGGAGCAAACA
rnacentral:rRNA from 1 species